AACGCGAAGAACCUUACCUAAGCUUGACAUCCUUUUGACCGAUGCCUAAUCGCAUCUUUCCCUUCGGGGACAGAAGUGACAGGUGGUGCAUGGUUGUCGUCAGCUCGUGUCGUGAGAUGUUGGGUUAAGUCCCGCAACGAGCGCAACCCUUGCCUUUAGUUGCCAGCAUUAAGUUGGGCACCCUAGAGGGACUGCCAGGGAUAACCUGGAGGAAGGUGGGGAUGACGUCAAAUCAUCAUGCCCCUUAUGCUUAGGGCUACACACGUGCUACAAUGGGUGGUACAGAGGGCGGCCAAGUCGUGAGGCGGAGCUAAUCCCUUAAAGCCAUUCUCAGUUCGGAUUGUAGGCUGAAACUCGCCUACAUGAAGCUGGAGUUACUAGUAAUCGCAGAUCAGAAUGCUGCGGUGAAUGCGUUCCCGGGUCUUUACACACCG
rnacentral:rRNA from 1 species